rnacentral:misc_RNA from 1 species
GAUGAAGAACGUAGCGAAAUGCGAUAAGUAAUGUGAAUUGCAGAAUUCCGUGAAUCAUCGAAUCUUUGAACGCACAUUGCGCCCCCUGGCAUUCCGGGGGGCAUGCCUGUCCGAGCGUCAUUUCUGCCCUCCAGCCCGGCUGGGUGUUGGGCGCUGUCCCCCCGGGGACACGCCCCAAAGGCAGUGGCGGCGCCGCGUCGGGUCCUCGAGCGUAUGGGGCUUUGUCACCCGCUCGGGACGGACUCGUCGGCGCUGGUCUUCCUCCAGGCGACCCUUCGGGGCUCGUCUUCCUUCGGUUGACCUCGGAUCAGGUAGGGUUACCCGCUGAACUUAAGCAUGUCAAUAAGCGGAGGA